UACACGAGUGGCGAACGGGUGAGUAACACGUGGGUGAUCUGCCCUGCACUCUGGGAUAAGCCUGGGAAACUGGGUCUAAUACCGGAUAGGAGCUCCUGUCGCAUGGCGGGGGUUGGAAAGGUUUACUGGUGCAGGAUGGGCCCGCGGCCUAUCAGCUUGUUGGUGGGGUAAUGGCCUACCAAGGCGACGACGGGUAGCCGGCCUGAGAGGGCGACCGGCCACACUGGGACUGAGACACGGCCCAGACUCCUACGGGAGGCAGCAGUGGGGAAUAUUGCACAAUGGGCGAAAGCCUGAUGCAGCGACGCCGCGUGAGGGAUGACGGCCUUCGGGUUGUAAACCUCUUUCAGCAGGGACGAAGCGAGAGUGACGGUACCUGCAGAAGAAGCACCGGCCAACUACGUGCCAGCAGCCGCGGUAAUACGUAGGGUGCGAGCGUUGUCCGGAAUUACUGGGCGUAAAGAGCUCGUAGGCGGUUUGUCGCGUCGUCCGUGAAAACUUGGGGCUCAACCCCAAGCUUGCGGGCGAUACGGGCAGACUUGAGUACUGCAGGGGAGACUGGAAUUCCUGGUGUAGCGGUGAAAUGCGCAGAUAUCAGGAGGAACACCGGUGGCGAAGGCGGGUCUCUGGGCAGUAACUGACGCUGAGGAGCGAAAGCGUGGGUAGCGAACAGGAUUAGAUACCCUGGUAGUCCACGCCGUAAACGGUGGGCGCUAGGUGUGGGUUUCCUUCCACGGGAUCCGUGCCGUAGCUAACGCAUUAAGCGCCCCGCCUGGGGAGUACGGCCGCAAGGCUAAAACUCAAGGAAUUGACGGGGGCCCGCACAAGCGGCGGAGCAUGUGGAUUAAUUCGAUGCAACGCGAAGAACCUUACCUGGGUUUGACAUAUACCGGAAAGCCGUAGAGAUACGGCCCCCCUUGUGGUCGGUAUACAGGUGGUGCAUGGCUGUCGUCAGCUCGUGUCGUGAGAUGUUGGGUUAAGUCCCGCAACGAGCGCAACCCUUGUCCUGUGUUGCCAGCGCGUAAUGGCGGGGACUCGCAGGAGACUGCCGGGGUCAACUCGGAGGAAGGUGGGGACGACGUCAAGUCAUCAUGCCCCUUAUGUCCAGGGCUUCACACAUGCUACAAUGGCCGGUACAGAGGGCUGCGAUACCGUGAGGUGGAGCGAAUCCCUUAAAGCCGGUCUCAGUUCGGAUCGGGGUCUGCAACUCGACCCCGUGAAGUCGGAGUCGCUAGUAAUCGCAGAUCAGCAACGCUGCGGUGAAUACGUUCCCGGGCCUUGUACACACCGCCCGUCACGUCAUGAAAGUCGGUAACACCCGAAGCC
rnacentral:rRNA from 2 species